rnacentral:rRNA from 1 species
CUACGAAGGGGGCUAGCGUUGCUCGGAAUUACUGGGCGUAAAGGGCUGCGUAGGCGGCUUAGUUAGUCAGGCGUGAAAUUCUGGGCUCAACCUGGGGACUGCGCUUGAUACGGCUAGGCUAGAGGAUGGAAGAGGGUCGCGGAAUUCCCAGUGUAGAGGUGAAAUUCGUAGAUAUUGGGAAGAACACCGGUGGCGAAGGCGGCGACCUGGUCCAUUACU